UACGAAGGGGGCUAGCGUUGCUCGGAAUCACUGGGCGUAAAGCGCACGUAGGCGGCUUAUUAAGUCAGGGGUGAAAUCCUGGAGCUCAACUCCAGAACUGCCUUUGAUACUGAUGAGCUUGAGUUCGGGAGAGGUGAGUGGAACUGCGAGUGUAGAGGUGAAAUUCGUAGAUAUUCGCAAGAACACCAGUGGCGAAGGCGGCUCACUGGCCCGAUACUGACGCUGAGGUGCGAAAGCGUGGGGAGCAAACAGG
rnacentral:rRNA from 1 species